GGAAGAUGCUAACAGCCACCCUCCAUUUCAUUGUUUCUACUUCCUUUUUGCCUCCCUUUAACCAAAAGUGACCACACAUUCCUACUUAAGUCACCUCAUUUCUUUCAUUGCUCUCAUGACUACCAGCAUACUUAUAACAUCCACUCCUAUCUUCUUGAUCAAACCCUCUUAGCAUUGUCACCCCUUUUAUGUGAAGUUUUCGAGUUUUGCUCGGCUGCCGCCACCACGUUGCCAAUGGCUCCUGGUGGCGUGUGGUGGCGAGUGGUGGCAAGUGGCGGUGGCAGCACCUAUCAGAAGCCUUUCCUGGUGCAUGAAUGAUCAAGUAAUCCUAUAUAUGCAUAUGGUAAGGAAUGGUCGUUUUAAGGGUGGUGUCAUGUUUUUAUUACAAGGGCAACUUCUAUCCUUUGGCAUUUUCAUCAGUUCCUUAAAGUGCUCUCUCCUUGAUGAGGGGUGGCUCAAGAAUAGAAUUAAUGUACUACUUGAUUGUUAAUAAUAUGUAAGAGGGCCAAUAUUGGACACACUUUUUCUUGUACUUGUCUGAGUUUUCUUGGAAUAAAUCUGCCCCCUCAGCUUCCUUACACUAUCAGUUUUAUUGCCAGUUUUCUCAAUAUCACAAUGGUUUAGUUGAGUCUACGAAUUUAUCUAGAAAAUAAUGAACUUUAGUUGCUCUGUAUCUAGUCUUCUCGAGGUGGAAACUAGGAUGUAUACAAAAGAAUCCCUCCUCAGUACAAGAAUGUUGUCGGAAUCGGAACAUUUAGGGAUACUUUAUGCUUUGCUUGUAUGCUAACUUUAAUUAGAACGUGUUCAAUUUAUUGCUCUUUGUUUUUCAAAUGUAAUAAUUGGUACUGGAAAAUUGUUUCCACGUGAUACAAUAUACUUGGUUGGUU
rnacentral:lncRNA from 1 species